rnacentral:rRNA from 1 species
CCUACGGGUGGCAGCAGUGGGGAAUAUUGGACAAUGGGCGAAAGCCUGAUCCAGCCAUGCCGCGUGUGUGAAGAAGGCCUUCGGGUUGUAAAACACUUUCAGUGGGGAAGAAAGCCUUGGGGCUAAUACCCUCGAGGAAGGACAUCACCCACAGAAGAAGCACCGGCUAACUCCGUGCCAGCAGCCGCGGUAAUACGGAGGGUGCGAGCGUUAAUCGGAAUUACUGGGCGUAAAGCGCGCGUAGGCGGUCUGAUAAGCCGGUUGUGAAAGCCCCGGGCUCAACCUGGGAACGGCAUCCGGAACUGUCAGGCUAGAGUGCAGGAGAGGAAGGUAGAAUUCCCGGUGUAGCGGUGAAAUGCGUAGAGAUCGGGAGGAAUACCAGUGGCGAAGGCGGCCUUCUGGACUGACACUGACGCUGAGGUGCGAAAGCGUGGGUAGCAAACAGGAUUAGAUACCCUUGUAGUC